ACGAACGCUGGCGGCGUGCCUAAUACAUGCAAGUCGAGCGGACAGAUGGGAGCUUGCUCCCUGAUGUUAGCGGCGGACGGGUGAGUAACACGUGGGUAACCUGCCUGUAAGACUGGGAUAACUCCGGGAAACCGGGGCUAAUACCGGAUGGUUGUUUGAACCGCAUGGUUCAAACAUAAAAGGUGGCUUCGGCUACCACUUACAGAUGGACCCGCGGCGCAUUAGCUAGUUGGUGAGGUAACGGCUCACCAAGGCGACGAUGCGUAGCCGACCUGAGAGGGUGAUCGGCCACACUGGGACUGAGACACGGCCCAGACUCCUACGGGAGGCAGCAGUAGGGAAUCUUCCGCAAUGGACGAAAGUCUGACGGAGCAACGCCGCGUGAGUGAUGAAGGUUUUCGGAUCGUAAAGCUCUGUUGUUAGGGAAGAACAAGUACCGUUCGAAUAGGGCGGUACCUUGACGGUACCUAACCAGAAAGCCACGGCUAACUACGUGCCAGCAGCCGCGGUAAUACGUAGGUGGCAAGCGUUGUCCGGAAUUAUUGGGCGUAAAGGGCUCGCAGGCGGUUUCUUAAGUCUGAUGUGAAAGCCCCCGGCUCAACCGGGGAGGGUCAUUGGAAACUGGGGAACUUGAGUGCAGAAGAGGAGAGUGGAAUUCCACGUGUAGCGGUGAAAUGCGUAGAGAUGUGGAGGAACACCAGUGGCGAAGGCGACUCUCUGGUCUGUAACUGACGCUGAGGAGCGAAAGCGUGGGGAGCGAACAGGAUUAGAUACCCUGGUAGUCCACGCCGUAAACGAUGAGUGCUAAGUGUUAGGGGGUUUCCGCCCCUUAGUGCUGCAGCUAACGCAUAAGCACUCCGCC
rnacentral:rRNA from 1 species